UGCGUAGGUGGUCUUUCAAGUCGGUGGUUAAAGGCUACGGCUCAACCGUAGUUAGCCUCCGAAACUGGAAGACUUGAGUGCAGGAGAGGAAAGUGGAAUUCCCAGUGUAGCGGUGAAAUGCGUAGAUAUUGGGAGGAACACCAGUAGCGAAGGCGGCUUUCUGGACUGCAACUGACACUGAGGCACGAAAGCGUGGGUAGCAAAACA
rnacentral:rRNA from 1 species